rnacentral:rRNA from 1 species
AUUGAACGCUGGCGGCAGGCUUAACACAUGCAAGUCGAGCGGAGAUAAGGUGCUUGCACCUUAUCUUAGCGGCGGACGGGUGAGUAAUGCUUAGGAAUCUGCCUAUUAGUGGGGGACAACAUUCCGAAAGGAAUGCUAAUACCGCAUACGUCCUACGGGAGAAAGCAGGGGAUCUUCGGACCUUGCGCUAAUAGAUGAGCCUAAGUCGGAUUAGCUAGUUGGUGGGGUAAAGGCCUACCAAGGCGACGAUCUGUAGCGGGUCUGAGAGGAUGAUCCGCCACACUGGGACUGAGACACGGCCCAGACUCCUACGGGAGGCAGCAGUGGGGAAUAUUGGACAAUGGGGGGAACCCUGAUCCAGCCAUGCCGCGUGUGUGAAGAAGGCCUUAUGGUUGUAAAGCACUUUAAGCGAGGAGGAGGCUACUGAGACUAAUACUCUUGGAUAGUGGACGUUACUCGCAGAAUAAGCACCGGCUAACUCUGUGCCAGCCGCCGCAGUAAUAC